rnacentral:tRNA from 1 species
GCCUGGAUGGCUCAGUGGGUUGUGCGUCUGACUUGGGUUCAGGUCAUGAUCUCGCGGUUCACGGGUUCGAGACUCGUGUCGGGCU